rnacentral:rRNA from 1 species
CAGGCCUAACACAUGCAAGUCGAGCGCACGGGGUGUUCCCUUACGGGAAACCCCCUGGAGCGGCGGACGGGUGAGUAACACGUAGGCAACCUGCCUGUAAGAUCGGGAUAACUACCGGAAACGGUAGCUAAGACCGGAUAGCUGGUUUCUCCGCAUGGAGGGAUCAUGAAACAUGGGGCAACCUAUGGCUUACGGAUGGGCCUGCGGCGCAUUAGCUAGUUGGUGGGGUAACGGCCCACCAAGGCGACGAUGCGUAGCCGACCUGAGAGGGUGAUCGGCCACACUGGGACUGAGACACGGCCCAGACUCCUACGGGAGGCAGCAGUAGGGAAUCUUCCGCAAUGGGCGCAAGCCUGACGGAGCAACGCCGCGUGAGUGAUGAAGGUUUUCGGAUCGUAAAGCUCUGUUGCCAAGGAAGAACGCCUCGGAGAGUAACUGCUCUGAGGGUGACGGUACUUGAGAAGAAAGCCCCGGCUAACUACGUGCCAGCAGCCGCGGUAAUACGUAGGGGGCAAGCGUUGUCCGGAAUUAUUGGGCGUAAAGCGCGCGCAGGCGGUCUUUUAAGUUUGGUGUUUAAGCCCGGGGCUCAACCCCGGUUCGCACUGAAAACUGGGAGACUUGAGUGCAGGAGAGGAAAGCGGAAUUCCACGUGUAGCGGUGAAAUGCGUAGAGAUGUGGAGGAACACCAGUGGCGAAGGCGGCUUUCUGGACUGUAACUGACGCUGAGGCGCGAAAGCGUGGGGAGCAAAC